rnacentral:tRNA from 1 species
GGUAAAAUGGCUGAAUUUAUAGGCGAUAAAUUGUAAAUUUAUAAAUGGGUUGAUAAUUCCUUUUACCA